rnacentral:rRNA from 1 species
GAUGAACGCUGGCGGCGUGCCUAAUACAUGCAAGUCGAGCGAACAGACGCGGAGCUUGCUCCUCUGACGUUUGCGGCGGACGGGUGAGUCACACGUGGAUCCCCUACCUAUCAGACUGGGAUCACUUCGGGAAACCGGCGCUAAUACCGGAUAAUCUCUUGAACCGCAUGGUUCAAUAGUGAAAGACGGUUUUGCUGUCACUUCUCGAUGGAUCCGCGCCGCAUUAGCUAGUUGGUAAGGUAACGGCUUACCAAGGCUACGAGGCGUAAGCGACCGGCGAGGGUGGUCGGCCACACGAGAACGGAGACACGGUCCAUGCUCCUACGGGAGGCAGCAGUAGGGAAUCUGCCGCAAUGGGCGAAAGCCUGACGGAGCAACGCCGCGUGAGUGAUGAAGGUCUUCGGAGCGUAAAACUCUGUUAUGAGGGAAGAACAAAUGUGUAAGUAACUAUGCACGUCUUGACGGUACCUAAUCAGAAAGCCACGGCUAACUACGUG